rnacentral:rRNA from 1 species
UACGGGAGGCAGCAGUGGGGAAUAUUGGACAAUGGGCGAAAGCCUGAUCCAGCCAUGCCGCAUGAGUGAAGAAGGCCUUCGGGUUGUAAAGCUCUUUUAGUGAGAAAGAUAAUGACGGUACUCACAGAAGAAGUCCUGGCUAACUCCGUGCCAGCAGCCGCGGUAAUACGGAGAGGGCUAGCGUUAUUCGGAAUUAUUGGGCGUAAAGAGCGCGUAGGAUGAUUAGUAAGUUAAAAGUGAAAUCCCAAAGCUUAACUUUGGAAUUGCUUUUUAAAACUGCUAGUCUAGAGAUUGAAAGAGGAUAGAGGAAUUCCUAGUGUAGAGGUGAAAUUCGUAAAUAUUAGGAGGAACACCAGUGGCGAAGGCGUCUAUCUGGUUCAAAUCUGACGCUGAGGCGCGAAGGGCGUGGGGAGCAAACAGGGAUUAGAUACC